AUUGAACGCUAGCGGGAUGCCUUACACAUGCAAGUCGAACGGAGUGGCGAACGGGUGAGUAAUGUAUCGGAACGUGCCCAGUAGCGGGGGAUAACUACGCUAAAUCGUAGCUAAUACCGAAUACUUUUGCAUCGGACUAUAGCGGAUUAGCUAGCUGGUGGGGUAACGGCUCACAUAGUCGACGAUCCGUAGCUGGUUUGAGAGGAGGACCAGCCACAAUGGGACUGAGACAGGGCCCAGACUCCUACGGGAGGCAGCAGGGGGGAAUAUUGGAUAAGGGGGGAAACACUGAUCCAGCCAGCCCGCGUGUGCGAUGAAGGCCUUCGGGUUGUAAAGCGCUUUUGGCAGGGAAGCGGUACCUGCAGAAUAAGCACCGGCUAACUACGUGCCAGCCGCCGCGGUAAUUC
rnacentral:rRNA from 1 species